rnacentral:rRNA from 1 species
GACGAACGCUGGCGGCGUGCUUAACACAUGCAAGUCGAACGGAAAGGCCCUGCUUUUGUGGGGUGCUCGAGUGGCGAACGGGUGAGUAACACGUGAGUAACCUGCCCUUGACUUUGGGAUAACUUCAGGAAACUGGGGCUAAUACCGGAUAGGAGCUCCUGCUGCAUGGUGGGGGUUGGAAAGUUUCGGCGGUUGGGGAUGGACUCGCGGCUUAUCAGCUUGUUGGUGGGGUAGUGGCUUACCAAGGCUUUGACGGGUAGCCAGCCUGAGAGGGUGACCGGCCACAUUGGGACUGAGAUACGGCCCAGACUCCUACGGGAGGCAGCAGUGGGGAAUAUUGCACAAUGGGCGGAAGCCUGAUGCAGCAACGCCGCGUGCGGGAUGACGGCCUUCGGGUUGUAAACCGCUUUCGCCUGUGACGAAGCGUGAGUGACGGUAAUGGGUAAAGAAGCACCGGCUAACUACGUGCCAGCAGCCGCGGUGAUACGUAGGGUGCGAGCGUUGUCCGGAUUUAUUGGGCGUAAAGGGCUCGUAGGUGGUUGAUCGCGUCGGAAGUGUAAUCUUGGGGCUUAACCCUGAGCGUGCUUUCGAUACGGGUUGACUUGAGGAAGGUAGGGGAGAAUGGAAUUCCUGGUGGAGCGGUGGAAUGCGCAGAUAUCAGGAGGAACACCAGUGGCGAAGGCGGUUCUCUGGGCCUUUCCUGACGCUGAGGAGCGAAAGCGUGGGGAGCGAACAGGCUUAGAUACCCUGGUAGUCCACGCUGUAAACGGUGGGUACUAGGUGUGGGGUCCAUUCCACGGGUUCCGUGCCGUAGCUAACGCUUUAAGUACCCCGCCUGGGGAGUACGGCCGCAAGGCUAAAACUCAAAGGAAUUGACGGGGCCCCGCACAAGCGGCGGAGCAUGCGGAUUAAUUCGAUGCAACGCGUAGAACCUUACCUGGGUUUGACAUGGAUCGGGAGUGCUCAGAGAUGGGUGUGCCUCUUUUGGGGUCGGUUCACAGGUGGUGCAUGGCUGUCGUCAGCUCGUGUCGUGAGAUGUUGGGUUAAGUCCCGCAACGAGCGCAACCCUUGUUCACUGUUGCCAGCACGUUAUGGUGGGGACUCAGUGGAGACCGCCGGGGUCAACUCGGAGGAAGGUGGGGAUGACGUCAAGUCAUCAUGCCCCUUAUGUCCAGGGCUUCACGCAUGCUACAAUGGCUGGUACAGAGAGUGGCGAGCCUGUGAGGGUGAGCGAAUCUCGGAAAGCCGGUCUCAGUUCGGAUUGGGGUCUGCAACUCGACCUCAUGAAGUCGGAGUCGCUAGUAAUCGCAGAUCAGCAACGCUGCGGUGAAUAAAUUCCCGGGGCU